GAUGAACGCUGGCGGCGUGCCUAAUACAUGCAAGUCGAGCGAACAGACGAGGAGCUUGCUCCUCUGACGUUAGCGGCGGACGGGUGAGUAACACGUGGAUAACCUACCUAUAAGACUGGGAUAACUUCGGGAAACCGGAGCUAAUACCGGAUAAUAUAUUGAACCGCAUGGUUCAAUAGUGAAAGACGGUUUUGCUGUCACUUAUAGAUGGAUCCGCGCCGCAUUAGCUAGUUGGUAAGGUAACGGCUUACCAAGGCAACGAUGCGUAGCCGACCUGAGAGGGUGAUCGGCCACACUGGAACUGAGACACGGUCCAGACUCCUACGGGAGGCAGCAGUAGGGAAUCUUCCGCAAAGGGCGAAAGCCUGACGGAGCAACGCCGCGUGAGUGAUGAAGGUCUUCGGAUCGUAAAACUCUGUUAUUAGGGAAGAACAAAUGUGUAAGUAACUAUGCACGUCUAGACGGUACCUAAUCAGAAAGCCACGGCUAACUACGUG
rnacentral:rRNA from 1 species